rnacentral:rRNA from 1 species
UACGUAGGUGGCGAGCGUUGUCCGGAUUUACUGGGCGUAAAGGGAGCGUAGGCGGACUUUUAAGUGAGAUGUGAAAUACCCGGGCUCAACUUGGGUGCUGCAUUUCAAACUGGAAGUCUAGAGUGCGGGAGAGGUAAGUGGAAUUCCUAGUGUAGCGGUGAAAUGCGUAGAUAUUAGGAGGAACACCAGUGGCGAAGGCGGCUUACUGGACUGUAACUGACGUUGAGGCUCGAAAGCGUGGGGAGCAAACAGGAUUAGAUACCCUGGUAGUCCCUGA